AAAAAUAUAGAUUGGCAACCCAAGAAAUUCGAAAAGAUUGCUGAAGAUAUCACAUAUCUUUUUCCGACGGAAGUAAAGGAGACAUAUUACCUCCCUAUAAAAAACAAGAGAGCUGGAGGACUGCUGUACAGUAAGUACAGAAAUUCAUUAGCAAAGGCUAGAUCAUCUGUGGAAGAAGCAUAUGUUGACAAUUUAGAAAUUGAUGCAGCUGAUAGAGAUGCCGAAGAAUCCGACUAUGGUUUUAACUGGCUACUUUGCAACAGUGAUGGAACUGCGGACUUAGAUGAAGUCUUUCCUCACUGGGAG